rnacentral:rRNA from 1 species
UACAGAGGUCCCAAGCGUUGUUCGGAUUCAUUGGGCGUAAAGGGUGUGUAGGUGGCGCCGUAAGUCGGGUGUGAAAUUUCGGAGCUUAACUCCGAAACUGCAUUCGAUACUGCGGUGCUUGAGGACUGGAGAGGAGACUGGAAUUCAUGGUGUAGCAGUGAAAUGCGUAGAUAUCGUGAGGGAGACCAGUGGCGAAGGCGGGUCUCUGGACAGUUCCUGACGCCGAGGCGCGAAGGCCAGGGGAGCAAACGGG